rnacentral:rRNA from 1 species
CAUGCCGCGUGCAGGAAGAAUGCCCUAUGGGUUGUAAACUGCUUUUAUUUGGGAAUAAACCUCUUUACGUGUAGAGAGCUGAAGGUACCAAAUGAAUAAGCACCGGCUAACUCCGUGCCAGCAGCCGCGGUAAUACGGAGGGUGCAAGCGUUAUCCGGAAUCAUUGGGUUUAAAGGGUCCGCAGGCGGAUUUAUAAGUCAGUGGUGAAAUCCUAUCGCUUAACGAUAGAACUGCCAUUGAUACUGUAAGUCUUGAAUUCGGUCGGAGUGGGCGGAAUGUGUAGUGUAGCGGUGAAAUGCAUAGAUAUUACACAGAACACCGAUAGCGAAGGCAGCUCACUAGGCCUGAAUUGACGCUCAGGGACGAAAGCGUGGGGAUCAAACAGGAUUAGAUACCCUGGUAGUCCACGCUGUAAACGAUGAUUACUCGUUUUCGGCGAUAUACAGUCGGAGACUAAGCGAAAGUGAUAAGUAAUCCACCUGGGGAGUACGAUCGCAAGGUUG